GAUGAACGCUAGCGACAGGCCUAACACAUGCAAGUCGAGGGGUAGGGUAGCAAUACCCGAGACCGGCGCACGGGUGCGUAACGCGUAUGUAACCUGCCUUACACAGGGGGAUAGCCUUCCGAAAGGGAGAUUAAUACCCCAUAACAUUAUCUUCCCGCAUGGGGAGUUACUUAAAGCUACGGUGGUGUAAGAUGGGCAUGCGUAUGAUUAGCUAGUUGGGGGGGUAACGGCCCACCAAGGCGACGAUCAUUAGGGGUUCUGAGAGGAAGAUCCACCACACUGGUACUGGGACACGGACCAGACUCCUACGGGAGGCAGCAGUGAGGAAUAUUGGUCAAUGGGCGCGAGCCUGAACCAGCCAUGUCGCGUGCAGGACGACUGCCCUAUGGGUUGUAAACUGCUUUUGUAUGGGAAGAAACGACGGUACGCGUACUGUUUUGCCGGUACCAUACGAAUAAGGAUCGGCUAACUCCGUGCCAGCAGCCGCGGUAACAC
rnacentral:rRNA from 1 species